UAGUGUUGUUUUCCCUCCAAGAUACCUGAUGAAUCACCCAUGAAUACGGCGGGGAGUGGAGGAGGGGAGAAACCGCAAAACCCAGAUCUGAGAUUCUCUGCUCUGUGAUCCGAGUCUGCUUACAGCUUACACUUGAGGCUCUUCAAAAAAUCCCUUACUGUCCUUGUCCAGGUGUAUUCCGUACAUGUGAAUCAACACUCCUCUGUUUAAAGACUGGGCUAAUGAUGAGUUUACUACCCAGGGGAUUUAUUACCCAUGUGAUGGUGAGCCUCCUGGGAGAUACUUUCAUGGAACAAGAACUUCAGAAGAGUUUUUUCCUGGCAUUGCGUGCCAUACUAAGAAAUAAAGAAGCAAGCUAAAAUAUUCUAUUACCAGUAAAAGUAAAGCCAUUAAAAUACAAUAAUUUUCCUUUGAAACUAUGAAAAGUGAAUAGGUAGUCUUCCUCCACCAUCUUGGCGCAUCUCAGCCUUCCUAUCCUAUAUCCCUCAGGCCUAUCUGCAAUGCUGCCUCCUCCACAGUCUUCCUCCCGUGUCCAGACUGGAAAUUACUCUCUGCUGUGGAUUCUCAGAGCAUUUAAUCUCCACCUCUUUUGUAGCAAUAAUUAUGUUUUAAAUAAAUACUGUAACUUCUU